rnacentral:rRNA from 1 species
CCUACGGGAGGCAGCAGUGAGGAAUAUUGGUCAAUGGGCGAGAGCCUGAACCAGCCAAGUCGCGUGAAGGAUGACGGCCCUACGGGUUGUAAACGUCUUUUGUCAGGGAGCAAGGGGGUCCACGCGUGGGCGUAGCGAGAGUACCUGAAGAAAAAGCAUCGGCUAACUCCGUGCCAGCAGCAGCGGUAAUACGGAGGAUGCGAGCGUUAUCCGGAUUUCUGGGGUUUAAAGGGUGCGUAGGCGGAAUAUCAAGUCAGCGGUAAAAUUUCGGGGCUCAACCCCGUCGUGCCGUUGAAACUGCUGUUCUUGAGUGGGCGAGACGUAUGCGGAAUGCGUGGUGUAGCGG